GUUGACUGUCCCUUAAUAGUCUUUCAGAAAUCUUCAAAUACAUGCUCUGCUGGGCCCUUCUAAAUAAAUCAGUUGCUACCACCAAGGAAGUGAAAGAAUAAGUCUCCAAUGGCAGUGGUGGCAUUUGCCUCUCUGGGAAGCAAGCAGGCUUGAGACUUUGAAAGUCUCAAAGCCCUUUGACAGUUGGCCCAAAUUUCCUGGCUGCAGAGCAGCACGAAGUGUCCUGGUUUCUUCGUGGCUGUGCAGUAUUCCACCACAUGGAUAUGCAGUGAAUCACGUAACAUGAUCUGUCCAAGAGCCCAAGCACCUGGUCGACAUCCUGGGCUCCUCUGCCAGCUGCUCUUCCUUUUCAAAUGAAGGAAACAGAAACACAGAAAGUGGAAGAAUUUUGCCACUAGAAGCACAGAGAACUAAGAGUCCUCAUCCAGUGGCUGAUGGAAGCAGAGACAGACAUCCACAGAAAUACACUGAGCUGAAAUCUGGAACCUAGUUGAAGAGAGGGAGGAAUGAAGAACGAAGGGUGAUGAUACACCUUUAAGUCCAGAACUCUGAAGGGAGAGACAGGUGGAUCUUUGAGUUCAAGACCAGCCUGCUCUACAGAGGACGUUCCCAGGAUAGCCAAGGACACACAUAGAAACCUUGUCUUCAAGAACAACAACAAAAAAAAAUAAAGAAAAUAAAACAAAAAGAAGGGCUCUCUUUAGUUCAACCAUACUAUCUAUAACGACACCCAUAGCUCUCAUUGUCCUAAGAACACAUUUUUAUGGCAUUUGUGUUUAAGUGACAGGAUCUAGCUGAGGCUGGUUCCUUUCAGUCCAGGACAAUCUCUCUUGAACAUUUCCUAUCACAAAGCCUUGUGAAGAACCCAAGUUGUCUAUCUGUCUCAUGGAGUGUACUGCAGUCAGCAUUUGUCUGCAUGUUGCCUUACUGUCAGAUUCGGGUUAGACAUUUUUGCAAGGAUUUUACACAAGUAAUAGCUUAUGCUUCUUGUUGCCAUACUUUCAGAAAUUUGUAAUUUUGGGAAAUGUGACAAGCAUAGGUUAAAUAAACACACACUGAAUUGA
rnacentral:lncRNA from 1 species